rnacentral:lncRNA from 1 species
GUUCAGUAGAGGAAGCAGGCACACAGCACAGGGAAACUGAGUCGUACAGCUCAGAGGCACAGGCGUAGUAUGGGAGCGGCAUCAGGUUCAGUAGAGGAAGCAGGCACACAGCACAGGGAAACUGAGUCGUACAGCUCAGAGGCACAGGCGUAGUAUGGGAGCGGCAUCAGGUUCAGUAGAGGAAGCAGGCACACAGCACAGGGAAACUGAGUCGUACAGCUCAGAGUCACAGGCGUAGUAUGGGAGCGGCAUCAGGUUCAGUAGAGGAAGCAGGCACACAGCACAGGGAAACUGAGUCGUACAGCUCAGAGUCACAGGCGUAGUAUGGGAGCGGCAUCAGGUUCAGUAGAGGAAGCAGGCACACAGCACAGGGAAACUGAGUCGUACAGCUCAGAGUCACAGGCAUAGUAUGGGA